rnacentral:rRNA from 2 species
GUAAGCUACUAAGAGCGAAUGGUGGAUGCCUUGACUGGUAAAGGCGAUGAAGGACGUACUAGACUGCGAUAAGCUACGGGGAGCUGUCAAGAAGCUUUGAUCCGUAGAUUUCCGAAUGGGGCAACCCAAUGUAUAGAGAUAUACAUUACCUAUAUAGGAGCGAACGAGGGGAAUUGAAACAUCUUAGUACCCUCAGGAAAAGAAAUCAAUAGAGAUUGCGUCAGUAGCGGCGAGCGAAAGCGCAAGAGGGCAAACCCAGUGCUUGCACUGGGGGUUGUAGGACUGCAAUGUGCAAGAGCUGAGUUUAGCAGAACAUUCUGGAAAGUAUAGCCAUAGAGGGUGAUAGUCCCGUAUGCGAAAAACAAAGCUUAGCUAGCAGUAUCCUGAGUAGGGCGGGACACGAGGAAUCCUGUCUGAAUCCGGGUCGACCACGAUCCAACCCUAAAUACUAAUACCAGAUCGAUAGUGCACAAGUACCGUGAGGGAAAGGUGAAAAGAACUGAGGUGAUCAGAGUGAAAUAGAACCUGAAACCAUUUGCUUACAAUCAUUCAGAGCACUAUGUAGCAAUACAGUGUGAUGGACUGCCUUUUGCAUAAUGAGCCUGCGAGUUGUGGUGUCUGGCAAGGUUAAGCAAACGCGAAGCCGUAGCGAAAGCGAGUCUGAAUAGGGCGCUUAGUCAGAUGCUGCAGACCCGAAACGAAGUGAUCUAUCCAUGAGCAAGUUGAAGCUAGUGUAAGAACUAGUGGAGGACUGAACCCAUAGGCGUUGAAAAGCCCCGGGAUGACUUGUGGAUAGGGGUGAAAGGCCAAUCAAACUUCGUGAUAGCUGGUUCUCUCCGAAAUAUAUUUAGGUAUAGCGUUGUGUCGUAAUAUAAGGGGGUAGAGCACUGAAUGGGCUAGGGCAUACACCAAUGUACCAAACCCUAUCAAACUCCGAAUACCUUAUAUGUAAUCACAGCAGUCAGGCGGCGAGUGAUAAAAUCCGUCGUCGAGAGGGAAACAACCCAGACUACCAGCUAAGGUCCCUAAAUCUUACUUAAGUGGAAAACGAUGUGAAGUUACUUAAACAACCAGGAGGUUGGCUUAGAAGCAGCCAUCCUUUAAAGAAAGCGUAAUAGCUCACUGGUCUAGUGAUUUUGCGCGGAAAAUAUAACGGGGCUAAAGUAAGUACCGAAGCUGUAGACUUGCACACAACUUAGAUUAUUUAAGUUUAGAAUAUGAGAAACUAAGUUAUGUUUAGUUAUAUUUUUACUGAUUUUUAUAGAGUAAAGAUAGAAAUAAAACUUAGUAAAAUCAGUAAAAAUAUUCUUAGGCUAAAGUUAAGUAGUUUAAGUUGUGUGCAAGUGGUAGGAGAGCGUUCUAUUUGCGUCGAAGGUAUACCGGUAAGGAGUGCUGGAGCGAAUAGAAGUGAGCAUGCAGGCAUGAGUAGCGAUAAUUAAUGUGAGAAUCAUUAACGCCGUAAACCCAAGGUUUCCUACGCGAUGCUCGUCAUCGUAGGGUUAGUCGGGUCCUAAGUCGAGUCCGAAAGGGGUAGACGAUGGCAAAUUGGUUAAUAUUCCAAUACCAACAUUAGUGUGCGAUGGAAGGACGCUUAGGGCUAAGGGGGCUAGCGGAUGGAAGUGCUAGUCUAAGGUCGUAGGAGGUUAUACAGGCAAAUCCGUAUAACAAUACUCCGAGAACUGAAAGGCUUUUUGAAGUCUUCGGAUGGAUAGAAGAACCCCUGAUGCCGUCGAGCCAAGAAAAGUUUCUAAGUUUAGCUAAUGUUGCCCGUACCGUAAACCGACACAGGUGGGUGGGAUGAGUAUUCUAAGGCGCGUGGAAGAACUCUCUUUAAGGAACUCUGCAAAAUAGCACCGUAUCUUCGGUAUAAGGUGUGGUUAGCUUCGUACUAGGAUUUACUCCGAAAGCGAAGAAACUUACAACAAAGAGUCCCUCCCGACUGUUUACCAAAAACACAGCACUCUGCUAACUCGUAAGAGGAUGUAUAGGGUGUGACGCCUGCCCGGUGCUCGAAGGUUAAUUGAUGGGGUUAGCAUUAGCGAAGCUCUUGAUCGAAGCCCGAGUAAACGGCGGCCGUAACUAUAACGGUCCUAAGGUAGCGAAAUUCCUUGUCGGUUAAAUACCGACCUGCAUGAAUGGCGUAACGAGAUGGGAGCUGUCUCAAAGAGGGAUCCAGUGAAAUUGUAGUGGAGGUGAAAAUUCCUCCUACCCGCGGCAAGACGGAAAGACCCCGUGGACCUUUACUACAGCUUGACACUGCUACUUGGAUAAGAAUGUGCAGGAUAGGUGGGAGGCUUUGAGUAUAUGACGCCAGUUGUAUAUGAGCCAUUGUUGAGAUACCACUCUUUCUUAUUUGGGUAGCUAACCAGCUUGAGUUAUCCUCAAGUGGGACAAUGUCUGGUGGGUAGUUUGACUGGGGCGGUCGCCUCCCAAAUAAUAACGGAGGCUUACAAAGGUUGGCUCAGAACGGUUGGAAAUCGUUCGUAGAGUAUAAAGGUAUAAGCCAGCUUAACUGCAAGACAUACAAGUCAAGCAGAGACGAAAGUCGGUCUUAGUGAUCCGGUGGUUCUGUGUGGAAGGGCCAUCGCUCAAAGGAUAAAAGGUACCCCGGGGAUAACAGGCUGAUCUCCCCCAAGAGCUCACAUCGACGGGGAGGUUUGGCACCUCGAUGUCGGCUCAUCGCAUCCUGGGGCUGGAGCAGGUCCCAAGGGUAUGGCUGUUCGCCAUUUAAAGCGGUACGCGAGCUGGGUUCAGAACGUCGUGAGACAGUUCGGUCCCUAUCUGCCGUGGGCGUAAGAAGAUUGAAGAGAUUUGACCCUAGUACGAGAGGACCGGGUUGAACAAACCACUGGUGUAGCUGUUGUUCUGCCAAGAGCAUCGCAGCGUAGCUAAGUUUGGAAGGAUAAACGCUGAAAGCAUCUAAGCGUGAAGCCAACUCUAAGAUGAAUCUUCUCUAAGCUCUCUAGAAGACUACUAGUUUGAUAGGCUGGGUGUGUAAUGGAUGAAAGUCCUUUAGCUGACCAGUACUAAUAGAGCGUUUGGCUUAUCUUU